AAUGAAAAAUUAGAACUGGGUACUUGUGGGAUCAAUGAUCCUUGGUUUUAUAGGGAAGUUCGGUGUGAAUCCGGCGCUGUCACGCAACUGUAUUAGGGAGCUUCAGCAUUGCAGUCCUUUCACAAAGGGAUGUUGAAGUGAUGAUCUUGAGUCAGAGUGCUGACUGGUUCUAUCUUUUGAA
rnacentral:ncRNA from 2 species